rnacentral:rRNA from 1 species
GAUGAACGCUGGCGGCGUGCCUAAUACAUGCAAGUCGAGCGAACAGACGAGGAGCUUGCUCCUCUGACGUUAGCGGCGGACGGGUGAGUAACACGUGGAUAACCUACCUAUAAGACUGGGAUAACUUCGGGAAACCGGAGCUAAUACCGGAUAAUAUAUUGAACCGCAUGGUUCAAUAGUGAAAGACGGUUUUGCUGUCACUAUAGAUGGAUCCGCGCCGCAUUAGCUAGUUGGUAAGGUAACGGCUUACCAAGGCAACGAUGCGUAGCCGACCUGAGAGGGUGAUCGGCCACACUGGAACUGAGACACGGUCCAGACUCCUACGGGAGGCAGCAGUAGGGAAUCUUCCGCAAUGGGCGAAAGCCUGACGGAGCAACGCCGCGUGAGUGAUGAAGGUCUUCGGAUCGUAAAACUCUGUUAUUAGGGAAGAACAAAUGUGUAAGUAACCAUGCACGUCUUGACGGUACCUAAUCAGAAAGCCACGGCUAACUACGUG